GGUGAACGCUGGCGGCGUGCCUAAUACAUGCAAGUCGAGCGAACGGACGAGAAGCUUGCUUCUCUGAUGUUAGCGGCGGACGGGUGAGUAACACGUGGAUAACCUACCUAUAAGACUGGGAUAACUUCGGGAAACCGGAGCUAAUACCGGAUAAUAUUUUGAACCGCAUGGUUCAAAAGUGAAAGACGGUCUUGCUGUCACUUAUAGAUGGAUCCGCGCUGCAUUAGCUAGUUGGUAAGGUAACGGCUUACCAAGGCAACGAUGCAUAGCCGACCUGAGAGGGUGAUCGGCCACACUGGAACUGAGACACGGUCCAGACUCCUACGGGAGGCAGCAGUAGGGAAUCUUCCGCAAUGGGCGAAAGCCUGACGGAGCAACGCCGCGUGAGUGAUGAAGGUCUUCGGAUCGUAAAACUCUGUUAUUAGGGAAGAACAUAUGUGUAAGUAACUGUGCACAUCCUGACGGUACCUAAUCAGAAAGCCACGGCUAACUACGUG
rnacentral:rRNA from 1 species